rnacentral:rRNA from 1 species
UACGUAGGUCCCGAGCGUUGUCCGGAUUUAUUGGGCGUAAAGCGAGCGCAGGUGGUUUAUUAAGUCUGAUGUGAAAGCCCACGGCUCAACCGUGGAGGGUCAUUGGAAACUGGGAGACUUGAGUGCAGAAGAGGAUAGUGGAAUUCCAAGUGUAGCGGUGAAAUGCGUAGAGAUUUGGAGGAACACCAGUGGCGAAGGCGACUAUCUGGUCUGUAACUGACACUGAGGCGCGAAAGCGUGGGGAGCAAACAGG